rnacentral:rRNA from 1 species
CCUACGGGGGGCUGCAGUGGGGAAUAUUGGACAAUGGGGGCAACCCUGAUCCAGCCAUGCCGCGUGUGUGAAGAAGGCCCUCGGGUUGUAAAGCACUUUCAGUGAGGAAGAACGCCUGGUGGUUAAUACCCAUCAGGAAAGACAUCACUCACAGAAGAAGCACCGGCUAACUCCGUGCCAGCAGCCGCGGUAAUACGGAGGGUGCGAGCGUUAAUCGGAAUUACUGGGCGUAAAGCGCGCGUUGGUGGCUUGAUAAGCCGGUUGUGAAAGCCCCGGGCUCAACCUGGGAACGGCAUCCGGAACUGUCAAGCUAGAGUGCAGGAGAGGAAGGUAGAAUUCCCGGUGUAGCGGUGAAAUGCGUAGAGAUCGGGAGGAAUACCAGUGGCGAAGGCGGCCUUCUGGACUGACACUGACACUGAGGUGCGAAAGCGUGGGUAGCAAACAGGAUUAGAUACCCUUGUAGUC